rnacentral:rRNA from 1 species
GAUGAACGCUGGCGGCGUGCCUAACACAUGCAAGUCGAACGGAAAUGUUUUGAUGAAGAUUUCGGUUGGAUUCAUUUCAUUUUAGUGGCGGACGGGUGAGUAACACGUGGGUAACCUGCCCUGUACCGGGGGAUAACACUUAGAAAUAGGUGAUAAUACCGCAUAAGCGCACACUGACGCAUGUCAGAGUGUGAAAAACUCCGGUGGUAUAGGAUGGACCCGCGUCUGAUUAGCUUGUCGGCGGGGUAACGGCCCACCGAGGCGACGAUCAGUAGGGGUUCUGAGAGGAAGGUCCCCCACAUUGGUACUGAGACACGGACCAAACUCC